rnacentral:rRNA from 1 species
GAUGAACGCUGGCGGCGUGCCUAACACAUGCAAGUCGAGCGAGAAGUUUGAAAAGUGAGUUUUCGGACCAGUGAUUCAAACGGAAAGCGGCGGACGGGUGAGUAACGCGUAGGCAACCUGCCCCGUGCAGAGGGACAGCCUCGGGAAACCGGGAUUAAGACAUCAUGAUAUCGGGUUAUCACAUGGUAAUCCGGUCAAAGAUUUAUCGGCAUGGGAUGGGCCUGCGUCUGAUUAGCUGGUUGGUGGGGUAACGGCCUUCCAAGGCGACGAUCAGUAGCAGAACUGAGAGGUUCAUCUGCCACAUUGGAACUGAGACACGGUCCAAACUCCUACGGGAGGCAGCAGUGAGGAAUAUUGCACAAUGGGCGAAAGCCUGAUGCAGCAACGCCGCGUGAGCGAAGAAGGCCUUUGGGUCGUAAAGCUCUGUCCUUGGGGAAGAAACAAAUGACGGUACCCUUGGAGGAAGCCCCGGCUAACUACGUGCCAGCCGCCGCGGUAA